rnacentral:pre_miRNA from 2 species
UAGCUGUAGGCUCAGAAGCAGAGCUCUGGGGUGUCUCCACCAUGGCCUGGACUCCUCUCUGGCUCACCCUCCUCAGUCUUUGCACAGGUGC